GGCUCCAUCGAAUAAUGGCUAAUUCCUCCGUCUUUCUAACGGAAAAUACGGGUUCGAGUCCCGUUGGAGCUA
rnacentral:tRNA from 1 species